rnacentral:rRNA from 1 species
UGCAGUCGAGGGGUAACGUGAGUGCUUGCACUUGACGACGACCGGCGCACGGGUGCGUAACGCGUAUAGAACCUACCUUAUAGUAAGGGAUAGCCCAGAGAAAUUUGGAUUAAUACCUUAUAGUAUGAUAAGAUGGCAUCAUUUAAUCAUUAAAGAUUUAUUGCUAUAAGAUGGCUAUGCGUUCUAUUAGCUAGUUGGUAUGGUAACGGCAUACCAAGGCAACGAUAGAUAGGGGUCCUGAGAGGGAGAUCCCCCACACUGGUACUGAGACACGGACCAGACUCCUACGGGAGGCAGCAGUGAGGAAUAUUGGACAAUGGAGGCAACUCUGAUCCAGCCAUGCCGCGUGUAGGAAGACUGCCCUAUGGGUUGUAAACUACUUUUAUAGAGGAAGAAACAGUUCCACGUGUGGAACUCUGACGGUACUCUACGAAUAAGGAUCGGCUAACUCCGUGCCAGCAGCCGCGGUAAUACGGAGGAUCCAAGCGUUAUCCGGAAUCAUUGGGUUUAAAGGGUCCGUAGGCGGGUCUGUAAGUCAGUGGUGAAAGUUUUCGGCUCAACCGGAAAAUUGCCAUUGAUACUGCAGGUCUUGAAUCAUUAUGAAGUGGUUAGAAUAAGUAGUGUAGCGGUGAAAUGCAUAGAUAUUACUUAGAAUACCGAUUGCGAAGGCAGAUCACUAAUAAUGUAUUGACGCUAAGGGACGAAAGCGUGGGUAGCGAACAGGAUUAGAUACCCUGGUAGUCCACGCCGUAAACGAUGGUUACUAGCUGUUCGGACUUCGGUCUGAGUGGCUAAGCGAAAGUGAUAAGUAACCCACCUGGGGAGUACGUUCGCAAGAAUGAACUCAAAGGAAUUGACGGGGGCCCGCACAAGCGGUGGAGCAUGUGGUUUAUUCGAUGAUACGCGAGGAACCUUACCAGGGCUAAAAUGUAGUAUGACAGGUUUAGAGAUAGACUUUU